UACGAAGGGGGCUAGCGUUGCUCGGAAUCACUGGGCGUAAAGGGUGCGUAGGCGGCGCGGAAAGUGGGGUGUGAAAGCCCUCGGCUCAACCGAGGAACUGCGCUCCAAACUACCGUGCUCGAGUGAGACAGAGGUAAGCGGAACUUCGGGUGGAACGGUGAAAUGUGUUGAUAUCCGAAGGAACACCGGUGGCGAAGGCGGCAUCCUGGACCGGUAUUGACGCUGAGGCGCGAAAGCUAGGGGAGCAAACAGG
rnacentral:rRNA from 1 species